rnacentral:rRNA from 1 species
GACGAACGCUGGCGGCGUGCCUAAUACAUGCAAGUCGAACGCAGUUGGGACGGGUGAGUAACACGUGGGUAACCUCCCAUCAGAGGGGAUAACACUUGGAAACAGGUGCUAAACCGAUAGUGAUGGAUGGACCCGCGGUGCAUUAGCUAGUUGGUGGGGUAACGGCUCACCAAGGCCACGAUGCAUAGCCGACCUGAGAGGGUGACCGGCCACACUGGGACUGAGACACGGCCCAGACUCCUACGGGAGGCAGCAGUGGGGAAUCUUCGGCAAUGGACGAAAGCCUGACCGAGCAACGCCGCGUGAGUGAAGAAGGUCUUCGGAUCGUAAAACUCUGUCGUUAGGGAGGCGGUACCUAACCAGAAAGCCCCGGCUAACUACGUGCCAGCAGCCGCGGUAAUAC